CCUGGAAGUGCAAAGAAAAAACAGGCUGGCCGAGAGCAAUUAGCAACACAGCCUCCCAUUUGCAGCUUUAGGCUAACGCUUGCAUCUGGAGGGGCUGUCCACUGACGUGGGAACAGCGGCCACGGGAAAUCAGCGGCACAGUCGCUACCACGGAGCUGGGUCCCUGGUGGUGUGGCUACUCGAGUCCGGGCCGGGUAGGAGAUAGUCCGGCUGGAGUCUGGACUUGCCACACUGAUGCUGGAGGGAAGGAGGUGGGUCAAAAAGGAUCUUGCUGUGA